rnacentral:rRNA from 1 species
UACGGAGGGUGCAAGCGUUAUCCGGAUUCACUGGGUUUAAAGGGUGCGUAGGCGGUUUGGUAAGUCUCUUGUGAAAUCUAUGGGCUCAACUCAUAGUCUGCAAGGGAAACUGCCGGGCUUGAGUGUGGGAGAGGUGAGUGGAAUUUCCGGUGUAGCGGUGAAAUGCGUAGAUAUCGGAAGGAACACCUGUGGCGAAAGCGGCUCACUGGACCACAACUGACGCUGAUGCACGAAAGCUAGGGGAGCAAACAGG